rnacentral:lncRNA from 1 species
CGUAUUAUAUAACUAUUGGUGACAUUUCCAGAAAGCUUCAAGGACCAACAACACAUCUUGGUAUGACAAGUUCAGACUCGACUGCACAGACCCGUCCGGCCUAGCACCCGACGCCGUUAACGGAGAGACGCCGCCGACCCGCGGGAGGCACUUUCUCCAUCACUGCCUAAAGUGGACCCGAUGUGAACUAGAAUGAAGUUGGCUGGACAUAAAGUUAACUGGACUAGAAGUGGACAGGACCUGAAGCUAACUGGACCUCAAGUACUCUGUGAAAGCUUCAAGGACCAACAACACAUCUUGGUAUGACAAGUUCAGACUCGACUGCACAGACCCGUCCGGCCUAGCACCCGACGCCGUUAACGGAGAGACGCCGCCGACCCGCGGGAGGCACUUUCUCCAUCACUGCCUAAAGUGGACCCGAUGUGAACUAGAAUGAAGUUGGCUGGACAUAAAGUUAACUGGACUAGAAGUGGACAGGACCUGAAGCUAACUAGACCUCAAGUACUCUGUGGUAUUGUAUUUAAUAUUGUUGUGGUACUUUGAAUGUUAGGAAAGUUCUACGGGCAUUCCCCAAUUUAUAAGAGUACAGUCGGCCCUUCACAUACGCGGGUUUAGCAUUCACGGAUUCGCAAAUACGCGGAUUGCCC